rnacentral:lncRNA from 1 species
CAGAUCUGUGGAUGCCUUCAGGUUCUGAUGUAACCGCGUAUGUAUCCGACCUCUACGGGUGUCCAUAUGAGGCUUGAUCUGAUCGGAGGCUCUUUGUUUUCCUCGGGGUGCUAGCUCCCUUGCAGAGAACGUUUCUUUGAUGGUUGAACAGGAUCUCUUUCAAUCUCCAAGAUAAUCUUAAGAAGGAAGAAGACAAAGUGUAGGAAGGAGAAGACACAAGAGAGGAAGAACCCUUCUCUUUUCCCUUGCUCUCUAAAACCUCAUGCCCCAAGAGAAGUCACGCCCCCAAUAGCCCAUGCCCCAAUCCUUUCAGAUGUCCCUCUCCACGCCCCAUAACCCCUAUUUAUAGGUGGCGUCGAAGGGUGAAAGGAUCAGGGUUUGACAGGAUCAAAAUCCAAGUCCUACUAAAAGUCCAAAACUCAAGUUGAUUCCAAACCAACUUUGACCAAAUCAAACCUGAUUUGAUUCUUAUCCAAAAGAGGGGAUAAGAGUGGGCAUGUGAGGGGCUUGGGAUGAUCUUAUCCCACGCUAAAAACUAGGUUGGCGUGGGCUUAGGUGGUGCAAGG